UCAUAUGCUUGUCUCAAAGAUUAGCCAUGCAUGUCUCAGUGCAAGCCGUCUAGUACGGUGAAACCGCGAAAGGCUCAUUAAAUCAGUUAUGGUUCCUUAGAUCGUACCCACGUUACUUGGAUAACUGUGGUAAUUCUAGAGCUAAUACAUGCCGACAGAGUUCCGACCAGCUGCCGGGCCUCGCCCGGCGGUACGGAAGGAACGCUUUUAUUAGAUCAAAACCGGCCAAACGGUCGUCGCACUCGUGCGACGGCCGUUAGCGGCCCGCGCAAAGACUUGGUGACUCUGAAUAACUUCGAGCUGAUCGCACGGUCUCGUACCGGCGACGUAUCUUUCAAAUGUCUGCCUUAUCAACUGUCGACGGUAGGUUCGACGCCUACCGUGGUGGUAACGGGUAACGGGGAAUCAGGGUUCGAUUCCGGAGAGGGAGCCUGAGAAACGGCUACCACAUCCAAGGAAGGCAGCAGGCGCGCAAAUUACCCACUCCCAGCUCGGGGAGGUAGUGACGAAAAAUAACGAUACGGGACUCAUUCGAGGCCCCGUAAUCGGAAUGAGUACACUUUAAAACCUUGGUCACACGAGGAUCAAUGUGGCAGGGCAAG
rnacentral:rRNA from 1 species